CAAACACCUGUGAGAAGUGUACAGUUUCUCUAAAAUGAACUUUAAUGAGAAGAAUUUUCUAUAAAAUAACGUAUAACAUUGUCUUAAGCUCUUAGAAGAACUUCUAACUGACCUUAAACUGCCCUCUACAGCCUCAAGUGCCAUAUGCUGGACACAAAAUCAGUUCUACCCAGAGUAUGCUAACUUGAAACUCAGGGUUUCUCACAGUCUCCUGCAAGUGCCAGAUGAAGCUGUGUUGAUCAGAUAUUUUGUAAGCACUGAAAGACUCAGACUUUCAAUUCAGCUGAAUAGAAGUGAAGCCCUGAUUGAGUGGUUCAGCUCAGCACAAAGAACUAGAGCACAAUGAGGAGUUCUCCUUUGUUAGUAAUCCCGCAGCACCUCUCUUCAAGCUAUUUUGUUACUUGCCAGUCUUACAGAAACCCAGAGGGACUCCUCACAUGAUAACCUGCUUUUUUUCGAAGACGAAGAUUUUAGCAAUCCAUGCUAAGUGCAAGAAACAGCAAGUACUGGGCUGAGCGUUUUCUGGUCCUUCUGUGAAAGGUGUGGGAGAACAGAAUGGAGAGAUUACCAGGCAAGAGGGCUGUGACUCCUGGUCCACUGAAUAUUAGCGAAGGAUCAAACUCCCUGCAGCAGUCAAGGGAAUAAAAUCUGUUUUACAUCA